rnacentral:sRNA from 1 species
GUUGCCCCGAGACACAUGGGCCAAGGAGGGGUCAGCGGCGAAUUCUUUCGGCCUGUUGGGGACCCCUCGCGUCCCCGCGCCAGGCUGGACCUCCCGUAUGAACUCUUCGCAUCGGCGGCGGCUUCCGUCACCUCCGCUCCCCCGAUCCUACUCCCAGUCGUCCACGUCCACCCAGGACUCCACCUGUCUCCAGGAGUCAGAAUUUCCUGUUUCUUCAAAAGACCGUUCCUGUCCCCAGAAUUUGGACCUGUUCGCGUGCAGUGGUCUGGAGCCUCACACACCCAGUGUUGGUUCCCAGGAAUCGGUGACUUUCCAAGAUGUCGCUGUGGACUUUACCGAGAAGGAGUGGCCCUUGCUGGAUUCUUCUCAGAGAAAACUGUACAAAGAUGUAAUGCUGGAAAACUAUAGCAACCUCACUUCACUGGGUAAGGCCAGUGCCAUUUCUCCACUUAUUCAUUCAUGAAUUAGAUGUUUUUGUUUGAGUAUGUUCUGUGACCCAGGAACUAUGCAGGGGUUCAGAACACAGCUGUGAACAAGCAGCCCCAGCACCCAUGCUCAUGGGGACUCUCCUGGGUAUUGAGACCCGUCCAUCGCAGGGACCUUGGGGGUUCUCCGGUGUGUGUCUGAGCUUGGCAUGGGCUUUUGAAAUACGAAAUCCUCAUUCUUUUGGAGGGUCAGUGUGUGGGUAUUUGUGAUCUUAUUUCCUAUUUCAUUUUUUUUUUUAAUUUAUUUUUGG